GCUUGGGUAAGUUAUUUAACCUCUCUGUGCCUUGGUUCCUCAGGUGUAAGACGGGGAUAAAAUACUAUUUCCCCAGUAGUGCAUGCAGCCUGUUGCCGGUAUGGGUUGCCCUAAGGGGCCUUGGAGACAGCC